AACUCUUAGCGGUGGAUCACUCGGCUCAUGAGUCGAUGAAGAACGCAACUAGCUGCAAGAAUUAAAGUGAAUUGCAGGACACAUUGAUCAUCGACACUUCGAACACACUUGCGGCCCCGGGUUCCUCCUGGGCCUAUGACUGUCUGAGUGUUG